rnacentral:rRNA from 1 species
ACGGGAGGCAGCAGUCGGGAAUAUUGCGCAAUGGAGGAAACUCUGACGCAGUGACGCCGCGUGCAGGAAGAAGGUUUUCGGAUUGUAAACUGCUUUAGUUAGGGAAGAUACAAGACAGUACCUAAAGAAUAAGCACCGGCUAACUAUGUGCCAGCAGCCGCGGUAAUACAUAGGGUGCAAGCGUUGUCCGGAAUUAUUGGGUGUAAAGGGUGCGUAGAUGGGGAAACAAGUUGGUUGUGAAAUCCCUCGGCUUAACUGAGGAACUGCAACCAAAACUAUUUUUCUUGAGUGCUGGAGGGGAAAGAGGAAUUCCUAGUGUAGCGGUGAAAUGCGUAGAUAUUAGGAGGAACACCGGUGGCGAAGGCGUCUUUCUGGACAGUAACUGACAUUGAGGCACGAAAGUGUGGGGAGCAAACAGGAUUAGAUACCCUGGUA